UGUAAUAGGAAAACUCGUAUGUAAAUAGUAAAGAUAUUUUAGUCGUUUUUCAUUCCUCACUUUAUUGUUUUAUAUUUUAUAUAUAGUAGUGGGUAGAUGCAAACUCUUUAGUUGUUGACGUCGACGUGUACCAUGAACAUGUUACCUGCUUAUUGCAUUGACAUUCGUAUGUUGUGUGCGUAGUUAGUGUAUGGGUGGUGUGUGUUGGUAGCCCUGACGGUGUAUUAUUCCACUGUAUAAGCUGUCUUACACUCACGUUGUAUGGUACAAGGACACAAUAGGACCAGCAGUAGCGACGGUUGGCUCAUCUCGGGGUUGUCGACGUGAGCGACGGAAACCGCCAGAGAGAAAAUCAAAGAAGCUUUUGUGACAGUGUACAGAAGUUUGAGAAUGACAGAAGGAAAGAAAUAUCCAAAGGGAAUAUGCCAUAAGAAAUUAUUGCAUUUAUUCAAAGAAUUCCUUUACUACAUCAAUUCAUAUAUUCCAUACAGAAGCUUUUAUCACGCUGUAGUAAACGAGUCUUGUGAAUUUAUAAUUUUUAUUGUCAUUAUUUUGGAAAACAAUGAGUUGGUUGGAAUAUAACAGUAAUUUAUUUAGGGAAAAAUAUAAAAAAUUAUUAUUUUUCUGAGUGGAGGAUGACAAUAGUGAAAGGUCGGAAUGAAUUUAUGAAAGAUAUAUAUUCAGUCAAUCGAAUUUUUUCAUCGAAAUUGAAUAAAAGCUUUACUCAAUAAUAAAUGUAAUUUCCAACGAAUACUUUGAGGUCAUUCUGGACAAACAAAUAAACAGUGCAUGGAUGUUCUUU